rnacentral:rRNA from 1 species
UACGGGGGGAGCAAGCGUUGUUCGGAUUUACUGGGCGUAAAGGGCGCGUAGGCGGCCUCUGCAAGUCGACUGUGAAAUCUCCGGGCUUAACCCAGAAAGGUCAGCCGAUACUGCAGGGCUAGAGUGCAGAAGGGGCAACUGGAAUUCUCGGUGUAGCGGUGAAAUGCGUAGAUAUCGAGAGGAACACCUGCGGCGAAGGCGGGUUGCUGGGCUGACACUGACGCUGACAGCGCGAAAGCUAGGGGAGCAAACGGG